rnacentral:misc_RNA from 1 species
CAAACGAGUGUUUUAUGGCACUCUCUAAAAAUCCAUAUCCACCUUGUGUGCAAUGUUUGUUGGGAAAGUCUUUUUCUUUCCCUUCAUAAAUAUCAACCUAUAUCUUUAACAACUUUGUCUGAAAACCUGUAUGAAUACUUAAUUCAAAUA